ACCUGGUUAUAUCCUGAGACAUUACCUGGUUAUAACCUAGUUAUAUCCUGAGACAUUACCUGGUUAUAACCUGGUUAUAACCUGGUUAUAUCCUGAGACAUUAC